CAGGCUUCGUCUCCGUCCGUUUGCCUCUCCCACGCGCGUCCGUCCUAUCUGUUUAGGACAAGAAGCUGUAUGUUCCCACGCCGCCCCCAAUUAGAACCCGCUGCUCCCUAUCCUGACAUCUUCCCCCUCCCCAUUUUCCCCCGCUCUCUUCACCGCUCUGUCUCCCUCUCUCUCUCGGCGAUUUUGCUUCGGCGGCCUGGUGGGGGGCUCGGCGGUGCUGGUCGACGGAGAAGAGAGGCGCGGCGCGGGGUAGGUGGAGCGUGGUCAAAGGAGGCGGGAGAUUGACGAGCUCACCGUUGAUUCCUCGCCGCGGCCUCGCGCAUCCACCCACGAGCUUCAUAGGGUGUCGCCGGCGGUAGGCUGGGGCCGGUCGUCUGCAUGUCACAAGGCGCGAUGGUGGGGGCUGCGUGGAUCUAUUCCGGGUAUUGAUUCGUGCACAGCAGGCGUAUCGUGGAAGGCCGGGGCGCAUCUAGCUCCGCGGGCUUAACGAGCAUAGCGAUUCCUCCCGAUUCCACGGGUUGCUGAUUUCUGAAGAAUGGAUUUGUAUUGUACAUAAGAGACAAGAAACCUAAUGGAGGCAUACCAUGCACAUUUUGUACAGCUAGCUUUGUGAUUUUGAACCUAAGACAAGACUAAUUAAUGCUGGGUGAACAUAUGUUGGGCCUAACAUAUGGAAAUCUUCUACUUGUGUGAAUCAGAUGCUGGGGCAUUUUUUGUGGGGAUAUAGAUUGAGUGCUCUUGGAAGUUGGAACUACUGCUUGUAUGCAUAUAUGUACUACCUAGUCCUAUAUAAUACUGCCAUCUGGACUACCAGUGGUUUUUGCUUUUGGAACUACCAUCUGUGAUUUGUUCUGAAUGAUGAUAGGCCCUAGAUUUGUUUUA